rnacentral:rRNA from 1 species
GACGAACGCUGGCGGCGUGCUUAACACAUGCAAGUGGAGCGACGAACCAGGGCUUGCCCUGGGGCAGAGCCGCGAACGGGUGAGUAACACGUGGGUAACGUGCCCCAAUGAUCGGGACAACCCGGGGAAACCCGGGCUAAUACCGAAUGUGCCCCCCUCACACCAGUGAGGGGUGGAAAGGAAGCUUCGACCUCCGCAUUGGGAUCGGCCCGCGGCCCAUUAGCUUGUUGGUGAGGUAACGGCUCACCAAGGCUGCGAUGGGUGGCUGGUCUGAGAGGACGAUCAGCCACACUGGGACUGAGACACGGCCCAGAGUCCUACGGGAGGCAGCAGAGGGGAAUCUUGCGCAAUGCGCGAAAGCGUGACGCAGCAACGCCGCGUGGGGGAAGAAGGCCUUCGGGUUGUAAACCCCUUUCAGGAGGGACGAAGCGUGGGCCGUUAAUAGCGGAUCCACGUGACGGUACCUCCAGAAGAAGCCCCGGCUAACUACGUGCCAGCCGCCGCCGUAAAAC